ACCAUAUAUUAAUAAAGGAGCAAAUCAUGUUUAUAAAAAAAUUUUAUAAACAUGAUUUGCUCCUUUAUUAAUAUAUGGU